CAGUCGCCACGGUAAUACGAAGGGUGCAAGCGUUAAUCGGAAUUACUGGGCGUAAAGCGUGCGUAGGCGGUUUGUUAAGUCUGUUGUGAGAUCCCCGGGCUCAACCUGGGAAUGGCAAUGGAUACUGGCAAGCUAGAGUGUGUCAGAGGAUGGUGGAAUUCCCGGUGUAGCAGUGAAAUGCGUAGAGAUCGGAAGGAACAUCUGUGGCGAAGGCGACUAUCUGGGCCAACACUGACACUGAGGCACGAAAGCGUGGGGAGCAAACAGGAUUAGAUACCCGGGUAGUCCCUGUCUCUUAUAC
rnacentral:rRNA from 1 species